rnacentral:rRNA from 1 species
CCUACGGGAGGCAGCAGUGAGGAAUAUUGGGCAAUGGAGGCAACUCUGACCCAGCCAUGCCGCGUGCAGGGAGACGGCCCUAUGGGUUGUAAACUGCUUUUGUACGGGAAGAAACACCGGUAUGUAUACCGGCUUGACGGUACCGUAAGAAUAAGCAUCGGCUAACUCCGUGCCAGCAGCCGCGGUAAU